GGCUGUGAUGUGAUGAGAGUGGGAGACGAGUUUCAAAGUAUGCUGACUAUAGAGGGCAUUCAAAUAAAAAAAGAGCACUGGCUGUGUACAGGUCUAGUUUGAGUUUUGUUGUGAAGCACCGGAUUCAUUCAUACAUCAAAGGGAACCUAAGGCAUCAGAGCCCACAUAGACAGAAAACAAAGGCACUGUUUACAAGGCGGAAACUUGCUGAGAGAAGCAGCUGAGUUUUGCAAGGCUCACCCACUGACUGCCACCUUGGAGAGUGCCUUGGACUGCAGAAGUACAGUGGACUUCCAGUCCUCCAGUCCUUCACAAAACUUGGAGGAGCCCCUUGUCAGCGAGAAACUUUGAC
rnacentral:lncRNA from 1 species